rnacentral:rRNA from 1 species
GACAGAGGGGGCAAGCGUUGCUCGGAAUUACUGGGCGUAAAGGGCGCGUAGGCGGAAUGGCAAGUCGGUCGUGAAAUCCUUCGGCUCAACCGAAGAACGUCGAUCGAAACUGCCGUUCUUGAGGAUUGCAGAGGAGACUGGAAUUCCCGGUGUAGCGGUGAAAUGUGUAGAGAUCGGGAGGAACACCGGUGGCGAAGGCGGGUCUCUGGGCAAUUCCUGACGCUGAGGAGCGAAAGCUAGGGGAGCAAACGGG